rnacentral:rRNA from 1 species
UGAGUAACACGUGGGCAACCUACCCAGAAGACCGGGAUAACGGCUCGAAAGGGCCGCUAAUACCGGAUAAUGUCGGGGUACCGCAUGGUACUCCGAAGAAAGGGGAAACCCGCUUUUGGAUGGGCCCGCGUCCCAUCAGCUAGUUGGUGAGGUAACGGCUCACCAAGGCGACGACGGGUAGCCGGUCUGAGAGGAUGGUCGGCCACACUGGGACUGAGACACGGCCCAGACUCCUACGGGAGGCAGCAGUUGGGAAUCUUGGGCAAUGGGCGAAAGCCUGACCCAGCGACGCCGCGUGAGGGAAGAAGGCCUUCGGGUCGUAAACCUCUGUCAUGGGGGAAGAAGCAAGUGACGGUACCCCAAGAGGAAGCCCCUGCUAACUACGUGCCAGCAGCCGCGGUAAUACGUAGGGGGCGAGCGUUGUCCGGAUUUUACUGGGCGUAAAGGGCGAGUAGGCGGUCUGUUAAGUCAGGUGU